AGAGUUUGAUCCUGGCUCAGGAUGAACGCUGGCGGCGUGGAUAAGGCAUGCAAGUCGAACGGACAUUUCAUUUUAGCAAUAAAACGAAAUGUUAGUGGCAAACGGGUUAGUAACGCGUAGAUAACUUACCCUGAAGUCUUGAACAACUCCGCGAAAGCGGAGCUAAUACAAGAUAGUAAUGAGGGGACAUAUGUCAUUCUCAUUUAAAGGCUCCGGCCGCUUCAGGAAAGGUCUGCGUCCUAUCAGCUAGUUGGCGGGGUAAAUGCCCACCAAGGCUAUGACGGGUAGGGGGACUGGGAGGUCGGCCCCCAACAUCGGAACUGAGACACUGUCCGGACUCCUACGGGAGGCUGCGGUCAAGAACCUUUCUCAAUGCACGAAAGUGUGAAGAAGCGACGCCGCGUGUGUGAAGAAGUCCUUCGGGAUGUAAAACACUUUUAUAGGGGAACAAUUUUUGAGCGUACCCUAAGAAUAAGGGGCUCCUAAACUCGUGCCAGCAGGAGCGGUAAUACGAGUGCCCCAAGCGUUAUCCGGAAUUACUGGGCGUAAAGGGUCCGUAGGAGGUCUAAUUAGUCUUGCGUUAAAUUUCGGGGCUCAACCCCGAAGCCGCGUAGGAAACGGUUAGACUAGAGAGCAUGAGAGGCUGAUGGAACUCACGGUGUAGGGGUGAAAUCCGUUGAUAUCGUGGGGAACACCAAAGGCGAAGGCAUUCAGCUGGCGUGACUCUGACUCUGAGGGACGAAAGCGUGGGGAUCAAAAAGGAUUAGAUACCCUUGUAGUCCACGCCCUAAACGAUGAUGACUGGCUUUUUGAAGUAUCGACCCUUCAAGAGGCGAAGCUAACGCGUUAAGUCAUCCGCCUGGGAAGUACGAUCGCAAGAUUAAAACUCAAAGGAAUAGACGGGAACUCGCACAAGCGGUGGAGCAUGUGGUUCAAUUCGACAAUAAGCGGGGAACCUUACCAGGGUUAGAAAUUCCAAUGAAGCUAAGCAGAAACGUUUAGCGUCUCACAAGGACAUUGGAAUCAGGUGCUGCACGGUUGUCGUCAGCUCGUGGCGUGAGCUGUUCUCUUAAGUGAGGAAACGAGCGCAACCCCCAUCCUGCGUUACAAGUGUCGCAGGAAACUGCCUCGGACAACGGGGAGGAAGGUGGGGAUGACGUCAAAUCAGCGUGGCCCUCUGACACCCUGGGCUACACACGUGCUACAAUGGCCGGUACAAUGGGUCGCCAACCCGUAAGGGGGAGCUAAUCCCAUCAAAACCGGCCCCAGUUCGGAUUGAGGGCUGCAACCCGCCCUCAUGAAGCCGGAAUCGCUAGUAAUCGCGCAUCAGCCAUGGCGCGGUGAAUACGUUCUCG
rnacentral:rRNA from 1 species